CGGGCCAAGUUCCUUGGAACAGGACGUCACAGAGGNUGAGAAUCCCGUACGUGGNCGCUAGCUAUUGCCGUGUAAAGCCCCUUCGACGAGUCGAGUUGUUUGGGAAUGCAGCUCUAAAUGGGAGGUAAAUUUCUUCUAAAGCUAAAUAUUGGCCAGAGACCGAUAGCGCACAAGUAGAGUGAUCGAAAGAUGAAAAGCACUUUGGAAAGAGAGUCAAAUAGCACGUGAAAUUGUUGAAAGGUAAGCGCUUGCAGCCAGACUUGCUUGCAGUUGCUCAUCCGGGCUUUUGCCC
rnacentral:rRNA from 1 species